UACGUAGGGGGCAAGCGUUGUCCGGAUUUAUUGGGCGUAAAGAGCGUGUAGGCGGUUUGGUAGGUCCGCUGUGAAAACUCGAGCUCAACCUCGAGACGCCGGUGGAAACCAUCAGACUAGAGUCCGGAAGAGGAGAGUGGAAUUCCUGGUGUAGCGGUGAAAUGCGCAGAUAUCAGGAGGAACACCGGUGGCGAAGGCGGGUCUCUGGGCAGUAACUGACGCUGAGGAGCGAAAGCGUGGGGAGCGAACAGG
rnacentral:rRNA from 1 species